CAGAGCGUAGCUAAGCAGCAUAGCAUCUCCCUUACACCGAGAAGACACCCGUGCAAGCCGGGUCGCACUGA
rnacentral:tRNA from 3 species